AUUGAACGCUGGCGGCAGGCCUAACACAUGCAAGUCGAACGAGUGGCGGACGGGUGAGUAAUGUCUGGGAAACUGCCCGAUGGAGGGGGAUAACUACUGGAAACGGUAGCUAAUACCGCAUACCAUCGGAUGUGCCCAGAUGGGAUUAGCUAGUAGGUGGGGUAACGGCUAACCUAGGCGACGAUCCCUAGCUGGGCUGAGAGGAUGCCCAACCACUCUGGAACUGGGCAACUGGCCAGCCUCCUACGGGAAGCAGCAGUGGGGAAUAUUGCGCAUUGACCUCAACCCGGAUGCAGCCCUGCCGCGUGUAUGAAAAAGGCCUGCGGGUUGUAAGGUACUUUCAGCGAGGAGGCGUUACUCGCAGAAGAAGCACCGGCAAACUCCGUGCCAGCAGCCGCGGUAAUUC
rnacentral:rRNA from 1 species